rnacentral:lncRNA from 1 species
CUUUUUUCUUUUUCUUUUUCUUUUUCUUUUUUUUUUCUCUUUUCCUCUGAAGAAGGCUCUUAGGUUGGCCAUGGGGUCCGGUGAACUUCUGUCGUAGCCAUCGAUCGUCAGAGACGAAGACCACCGCCCUCAAUGGCCAGAAUUCACGAAAAAGGCCCCCUUUUGACCGUUUUGCCUCCCUUAGCCCAAAUCUGAGGCCAAAUACCUCCAAAAACCCUCCAAAUAUCAUAAAAAUCCUAGAGAACCCUUUGGUUUCCAGGUUUAUUUGAAUGUCAUCCUUGUAUUUUCCUUUCUAACAGAGUCCUAGUGAACCCCGAAGGCUUUGAAAACCUUUUUCAUCAGAAACGAAGUCACCUUUCAUCGAAGAUGACAACCUCCGUAGUGACGAUAAACAGGUAAAAAAAGCUUCUAUUUUUUUAUUAUGCUUUUUCGAAUAUGUAAAAAAAAUAAAAAUGAAUCACCUUUUUUUCUUUUAACGUUUCGUUUUUUUAUUCAAUUUUUAUUUUAAUCUAUUCGAUUGCUUCUAUGUAAAAUAAUACAUGUGGUUAUUAUGGCUUUUAUAGCCAAAUAUAUUGCAUAAUAUUCAUUCUGUUAUUCUUUUUUUUGUUGUUUCUGUCUCUUUCUUCUUGCAGGUUGCGAUGGCGGUCAACGACCAUAGGGAGUCGUACCCUUGCCAUUUCGGUGAAACGAUGUCAGGGGAGGCAACCCUCGGGCGACGCAUCCGCUAACAUGGCCAAGAGCAACGGCGCAUAAGGGAUCUAGGGUUUUUUUAUUUUUUGAAAAAUAUUUAGGUUGUGGGCUUGGGCUUGUGUAACAUUAGGUUUGGGUUAAGAUUUUAUAAAUGGACUUUGCUAUUGGGUUUGUAAGAUGAACUUGUUUAUUUUUUAUUUGGGUCAGAUAAAAUUGA